rnacentral:tRNA from 1 species
GGGCCCGUGGCUCAGCCUGGUCAGAGCGCCCGCCUGAUAAGCGGGAGGUCCGGGGUUCGAAUCCCCGCGGGCCCACCA